UCUCCGUUGGUGAACCAGCGGAGGGAUCAUUACCGAAGUUACCUUCAAAACCCACUGUGAACCUUACCUCUUGCCGCGUUGUCUCGGCGGGAGGCGGUGUGCGUCGCGCGCCCUAGCGGGCCGCGCCGCUCCCGUCCCCGCCGGCAGCGCCAAACUCUAAAUGCACAGCGGACUGUACGUUCUGAUUUACAAAAAAAACAAGUUAAAACUUUCAACAGCGGAUCUCUUGGUUCUG
rnacentral:misc_RNA from 1 species